GACGAACGCUGGCGGCGUGCUUAACACAUGCAAGUCGAACGGAAAGGCCCUUCGGGGUACUCGAGUGGCGAACGGGUGAGUAACACGUGGGUGAUCUGCCCUGCACUUUGGGAUAAGCCUGGGAAACUGGGUCUAAUACCGAAUAGGACCACGCGCUUCAUGGUGUGUGGUGGAAAGCUUUUGCGGUGUGGGAUGGGCCCGCGGCCUAUCAGCUUGUUGGUGGGGUAAUGGCCUACCAAGGCGACGACGGGUAGCCGGCCUGAGAGGGUGACCGGCCACACUGGGACUGAGAUACGGCCCAGACUCCUACGGGAGGCAGCAGUGGGGAAUAUUGCACAAUGGGCGCAAGCCUGAUGCAGCGACGCCGCGUGAGGGAUGACGGCCUUCGGGUUGUAAACCUCUUUCACCAGGGACGAAGCGUAAGUGACGGUACCUGGAGAAGAAGCACUGGCCAACUACGUG
rnacentral:rRNA from 1 species